CUGUCCAAGGGACAGAGUCUUCUCCAACACCACAGUCAAAAGCAUCAACUGUGAGAGUUGGACCAUAAGGAAGGCUGAAUGCCAAAGAAUUGAUGCUGUUGAAUUGUUGUGUUAUUGGCCAUACUAUUUGCAAAUAUUUCCUCCCAUUCAGUAGGUUGUUUUCGUUUAUGGUUUCCUUUGCUAUGCAAAAGCUUUUAAGUUUAAUUAGGUCCUAUUUGUUUAUUUUUGGUUUAUUUCCUUUGCUUUAGGAGACAGAUUCAAAAACAUACUGAUAGAUUUCUUUUCAUAGGUGGUAACAGUUUCACCAAAAAAAAAAUUAUUUACCAAAUAGCUACCAAAAAAUAAUAAAUAUAUGUUAAAUUGUGUUUAGCAUUUAUAAAGUGGUUGAUACAAUAGUGUAUGAUUUCCUGAGUCAAAAUAAGCAUGGCAUUUUAAAGCAUGGUGUUUGAGAGGUAUUUACUUACUUUGAGUAUUUGGGACUAUUUGAGGCAAAGAUAUGCCCACCAGCAUUUCAUAUGAAAAAGAGAAACAAUUCAAACCGUAAAGCUGAAGUAGAGCCAAAAUGAGCAAGAAACAGAGGAAAGACUACACAGAGGAGGAAAAACACCAAAGAAAAGAUCUUCUUUGUGAAGAAAUUGUCUCACAUGGUUCUAAUCCAGAAAUCAGAAUCAUCAGCCAGAUUAACAGGUAAAAUAACCAUACUUAACCCAUAAUUAAUAAAUGUCAUAUUUAAGAUUCAGACUAUAUAAGCCAAGUAGUAGUGAGAAUAUUGGGAUAAAUCAGUGAUACAUUAGGAAGGAUGGUAUACUUUCUUCUUUUACCUUUGCUUAUUUAAUUUGGCAUUACUUAUUUAUGAAAGCUAACCAGAUUAUUUACUUUAUAUCACAAUAAUACUGAUUUGAAGGUUUUGCAUAGUGUCAAUCUAAAGUUUUAAAACAUUAGUUUUAAUUGCCGUCAUUGUCAAGAAACAGUGAUUUUAGGUGAUUCUCUUUAACUUUCCAAGUAAUGUGUCAGGAUAUAGAGAAAAUUAUUCUUUGCAUUCCUGAUAAAGUGCUAUUUUUUUAUCAUAUAUGCAUAUAUUUUAUAUCUGUAAAUGUGUGUGCAUGUGUGUCCUACAAAUGUAUAGGACACUAAAGUAUCUAAUCCCAUUCUCCCUAGAAGGCAGGAACUAACUGACCACAAGCCAAAUAUAUCGUGUUAUGUUCAUAGUCAUUCAACCAGUAUAUUAACAUAGUAUUUUAAACCAAGAUAAUUAGCUUUUCUUUAUAGAAAUUCAUGAAAGUUCACAUAUAAAAUUCUUCGUAUACUCAAAAACACACAAACUCAUCUAUGUGAAUAGAUGAGUUUAUUCUGUGAGGCAGCAGGGUCCUGGGGCUGGAGACUGGAAACGCUUGGUUCUACCACCUACCGACCCUGAGCACGCUGCUUAAUCCCUGCUUGUCAUGCUGUGAACUUUAAAUAAAGUAAUGCACAUAAAAUACCCAGCAGUGCUUCUGUCGUUUGACAAGCCCUGGGUAACCAUCUGCAGGAGUCUGGAGGUCCUCUGAUGACUUUGUGGCAUGAUAAAGUCAGUUAUUACUGUGGAAGUUAUCACUAUGGAGAUGGCGUUGGCAAGGCUGCAGCUAACUGGAAGGAGCAAGACUUGAAUCAAGGAAGCCAGAUAGAGGCUGCUGCAGUAAUCCAGGCAAGAAAUGCCAUUGAACCAUACGGCAGCAGGCAGUGGGAAACAAGAAGCAAGAAACACUAGAGAUACUCUGUGUAAUAUGUACACCGAGAUCACCACUGGGCUACGGGAGUUGGAGAGAUACACAUAGGUUCCAGGCCUGGAUGGCAUUCUGUUAAGGCAGGGUAUAGAAAAAGGGUGAGUUCCCAAAUCUCAAGCACCUGCACACGUCAAAAGAGGAAGUGCCUGACAAGCGGUCCCCUAGAACUCAGGAAAGGCUGGACCGCGGCCACACCACUCAGCAGCCCAGGGAACAGUCAGUGUCGAGGAAGCAGAUAACACACUUGCUUUUACCUUCUUUUUCAGUCAAAGGUCUGGUCUCCCCCAGGCCAGGGUACAUCAUCAGAUGCAGCUCUGAACAUUGAAGGGAAACCACACUGAAGUUUUUGACCUUGAAGUUCAUCGCAGUUUGCUGCAGAUGGCGAAUGUCUCAGAGCUAGCUGUUUUCUGAGUGAUCCGAGUAAAACCGCGGACACGGGUCCCUGGCGCCACAUUUCGCAUCACAUGUUGCACAGCUGCCAGCAAGAGGCCCUUCCUUUGGCUCUUGGGGACUUCAUUUCCCUUGGGAACCAUUGUGGUUAUUCAACUUGAAGACCUUGUAGGAAGAAUCAGUUAUUUCUCUCUGGGGUCUUACUCAGAGCAAGCAACACGGAAGUAAAUAGUCACUAAGGAGGAACAAGGAGAAAUAAGCAUUUAGCCAAAUUGAUGAACAAUUCAUGUUAUUAUUAAAAAAAAAAAAAAAAAAACACCACUGGCCAGUUUCACAAAAGUUUUAACUAGGAAUUGUACUACUACCCUGCUGUCUCCUGUUCAUCAUAAUAUAUAUGAGAAUUCAUCUCUGUGUCACCCUCACCUCUUUUGCUGUUCCCAGCACAGAGGUGCACUGCAUUACAUGCUAAUGCCUCCAUGUAGAGGUUGAGUAAAGACUGUUUCCAGCAGAGAGAACACCAGACUAGGAAACAACAACUGGGGUUGCCCCAGUACUGCCAGUGCCUGAUGCUGUGAUCUUCUUUGUAAAGAAUGGAGAUCCAACAUUGUAUUCUGUUAAGAACUCCGGCGACGGGACACCAAGAUCAGACCUUGAUUUGUCAGGGUGUCACCAUCAAAGCUGAACCAGAAAGCAGCUCCGUGAGCCUGUGCUCGUCCGGUCUUGUCAUGCACCCAGCAGUCUUCAUGCCAGUGAGACAACCGACACGCACCAUCACAGGAGACACUGGGUACAUGUAAAUCUAAGUAUUUAGCAAAACUAGAUUUCAAACGACACUUUAAAAUGUAUUGCAAAAUGUACAGCAUUUAUUCACAUACAGACAAAAAGGCACAAAUUCUACUAAAUAGUUCAACAAAAAAAUACAGCUGUCCUCAACUAGUUUUAUAAAUACUUUCAAAAAGGGGGUAGAAAUAAAUACAGGAUUGGGCCAUGUAAUAUAAAAUAGUCAUCUCUACAUAUACUUUUUGUUUAAUUCUGAUUUUUAACUCUUCAUGCACCUUUUUUUUUUUACCCAAUUUUAGCUGAAUGGACACCAAGCUAGGCACAUAGUGAAAAAUCCUCUGUACAAGGUUACAAAUGUAAUGACAAGUUUGUCCAUUUCAAAAUAAUUAAGAUUUGUACACAACACAUAUAACCCUUCAUUUAGAUUUUGUGUUUAUAACCUAACAAAUGACAUUCCAGGCAACUUUACAAAAGUUUAACUAGCCUACAUUUUUGACAUAAUACAUUGAUCAUAAUCAAAGAUAUUUCUUGGUCAGGAUGCACACGGAAAGAUAAAGCUUUAAAAAAAGAAGAAAAGAAGAGCAAAUGGUUCCAUACUCAGAGUGCAAGUGGGCAGAUUGGGUUGGUUGCCGCUCAUACACCUCAGAGUUCCCAGCAGGACGUGAAACUGACUUACAGAGCUGUCAUUACACUGUCAGAGAAACUGUACCAUUUGCAUUUCGAAGCAGGAAUUAAAAGUGUGGGCUUUUUGUGUUUGUGUGUUUUGUUUUUGUGUGGGGUUUAUUUUUGUUUUGUUUUCUUUUUGGUUCAGCAUAACUUGGAACGUUUGAAAGC